rnacentral:rRNA from 1 species
GACGAACGCUGGCGGCGUGCCUAACACAUGCAAGUCGAACGGUGAAGCACCUUCCUUUCUGUUGGUGUGGUUGAGUGGCAAACGGGUGUGUAACACGUGUGUACUCUGUCCCCUUCUUCUGGAUAACCGCAUGAACGUGUCGCUAACCCGGGAUUUUCUGGGUCCGUCUCAUUGCGUGCCUGGGGAAGAUAUUGUUUUGGCGGAGGGAUGGCUCGCUGUCUAUCAGCUUGUUGGUGGGGUGAGGGCCUACCAAGGCGGUGGCGGGUAGCCGGCCUGAGAGGGUGGACGGUCACACUGGGACUGAGACACGGCCCAGACUCCUACGGGAGGCAGCAGGGGGGAAUAUUGCACAAUGGGCGCAAGCCUGAUGCAGCGACGCCGCGUGAGGGAUGGAGGCCUUCGGGUUGUAAACCUCUUUCGCCAGUGAAGCAGGCCUGUCCCUUUUGUGGGUGGGUUGACGGUAGCUGGAUAAGAAGCGCCGGCUAACUACGUG